CUCUUAUGUUGUCUUGGUUGUGUGCUUAGUGCAUUGUACUGUUGAAAGGUGAACCAUCAGCCCCAUCUAAGGUCCUUCACACUCUGGACCACGUUUUCAGUAUGGAAAUCUCCAUAUUUUGUUCCUCAAACAUGACCAUCCUCCCAGUCUUUGCUGCUGAAAAAAUCCUGCCAAAGCAUGAUGAUGAGCGGUGCCUGUUUCUUCUAGACAUGAUGCUUUAAAUUGAUGCCAAACACUCUUAAUUUCAUCAGACCAGAG